rnacentral:ncRNA from 2 species
CUCUUAUCCCGAGCUGGUGGAGGGACAGGCCCAAUGAAACCCAGCAACCUGCAAUAUGAAAAGUUGGCCGCUGACAGGUCGUUUUCAAGUGCAAAGGUGCUAAUCUGACGCAAGGCUGCUGCCUUGAACGAUAAGAG